rnacentral:rRNA from 1 species
CGGCAACAGCUCAAAUUUGAAAUCUGGCCUUGUGCCCGAGUUGUAAUUUGAAGAGGAUGCUUUUGGUGAGGCGCUUUCUGAGUUCCCUGGAACGGGACGCCACAGAGGGUGAGAGCCCCGUAUAGUUGGACGCCGAGCCUCUGUAAAGCUCCUUCGAC